CAUUUCCAAUUGUCCUCCCCGAAUGCUUAUCUUAAAAACACAAGCAUUGUCAUAAAAAAUAGCAUUACAUGAUAGGUUUUUGGUGAGUUUUUGUAUGGAAAUUAGGCUAGUAGACAAUUUGGGAAUGAGAAGGACAUUUCGUAGGAUUAUAGAUGGACUUAUUUGGAUAUCUCCUUGACCUGCUACAGUUAAAAGGGUACCAUCUGCUGUGGAUAUUUUCUUGUUAAUGAGACAAGGUAAAUAAGUGGAAAAUUGUGUGGGUAAGGGUGUCAUGUGGUCAGUGGCUCCAGAAUCCAGUAUCUAAUAUUGGUUAUAGGGUUUAUCCGAAGCAUUAAAUCCAACAUAAAAUUGAGACUUACCAAGAGAAAGUGGAAACAGAAAUAUAACUGAAUAUGCCAGAAAAGUUGUAACCGNNUGUUGGUGUCUCCAAUUCACUAAGAAAAGAUUUCAACCUCUUUAUUUCAUCUUGGUUGAGUGGAACAAAUCCUUUUUUUGACAUAUUGACCGAUGUCAUGUGAUUGUCUUAAUAAGGAGAACAAAAUAGUAAAAAAUCCAAGUUUUUUUUUUUAAUGAACAGUGACGCACAGUACUGCUAUGAACAGUACGCGCGUGAACAGUGUCGUGGAUGAACAGUAUCACGUGAACAGUGAUUUCGCAACUGUUUGCAGAAACUGCAAUAAAGGC
rnacentral:lncRNA from 1 species